ACUACGGGAGGCAGCAGUGGGGAAUAUUGCACAAUGGGGGAAACCCUGAUGCAGCGACGCCGCGUGAGUGAAGAAGUAUUUCGGUAUGUAAAGCUCUAUCAGCAAGGAAGAGAAUGCCGGUACCUGAGUCAGAAGCCCCGGCUAACUACGUGCCAGCAGCCGCGGUAAUACGUAGGGGGCCAGCGUGAUCCGGAUUUACUGGGUGUAAAGGGAGUGUAGACGGCGAAGAAAGUCUGAAGUGAAAGCCCGCGGCUCAACCGCGGAACUGCUUUGGAAACUUUUUGGCUGGAGUACCGGAGAGGGAAGCGGAAUUCCUAGUGGAGCGGUGAAAUGCGUAGAUAUUAGGAGGAACACCAGUGGCGAAGGCGGCUUACUGGACGGUAACUGACGUUGAGGCUCGAAAGCGUGGGGAGCAAACAGGAUUAGAUACCCUUGUAGUC
rnacentral:rRNA from 1 species